rnacentral:lncRNA from 1 species
GUUGCACAUGCUUGCACGUGCAGCAAUGCAGUGAUAGAUUUUGUGACAUUACUUCACGGAAUUUCUCCACAGCUCCGGCGAACACACAGACGAAACCCGAAAGAUGUAUUUCACAAUGAAGUGACAUUGAGGAAGUGCAAUGUUAAAUCCUUAUUACUAAUAUUGAUUACGUAUGUAAUGUGGUAGAUUAUCUGAUGAUGAAGGCAGAAUACUCCUCAUUAUCUCAUAGCUAACUAUUAACAUCCGUUACCAAAGCAAUGUAAUUCAUGCGUUAAACAAGAACUUACAAAAAUAUAUGAAAACAAAAAAAGAAAAAAAAAAGGAGAGAUUAUGUUGCUGCAGGCCAUUUAGUCUAUUGGAUGUUCAGGACUUAGAUUACGAUAAACAAUAGAAAACAGCAACAAACCAAACCACAAAAACAACUACAAACAAACAUAUUAAGACUGAAGUUGAAAAACGAUAAUCAACAUCAUCAUCAUCACCAUCAUCAUCAUCAUUUUAAUGUCUUUUUUUGCCUGACUUGCAAUGGGUCAAACAAGGUUUACUGAUGGCAUUCCAGGAAUGAUGCUGAAGAUCAAGAUAGGAAGGACCCUGUACAAAGAUGGAGGAGACAGCUGUAAAGAGCACAUUGGACACACCCUAAUAAACACUGCUGGUCACAGUUGGCUAAUUUUCAGAAUGAAGCCAGAACGUGAAGACAGUUUGGAAGCUCAAUUUGGAAUACAGUUUUGUGUUAAACUGAGAAAAAAUGCUACAGAAACAUGGAAUACUUCAGCCUGCUUAUGGAUUAACUGGUUUUCACUGAAUCAAGAGGCCAGGCAAAGCAAGUUCACCAGGAAACUCAUGAUGACCCCCUUUUUUGACAGCAUGGGCAUCAUCUUCAUCCACUCAGUUCUCUCUCAAACUUAACAAUCAACAAAGAGUAUUUUGUGGAAGUUUUGAGGGAAUUCUGGAAGAGAUUUCAUCACAAAAGGCUAGAGUACCUGCACCAGCCCACAAUUUUACCCUGGUAACCAACUUCAUGACAGAAAUGGGCAUCAGAACUGUCCCAUAUCCUCUCUACAGACCAGACAUUGCUUCUUGUAACUUUUGGCUGUUCCCAAAUAUGAAGGAAGCUGUGAUAAGGGUCCCAAACAUCUUCACUUUGGAAGACUCCCAUAGGACCUUCACAAAGUGGCUGGAAGUGCACUGAAGUCAGAGGAUCCUAUUUUGAAGGAGAUCAGAGUACAAGGUACUUCUUUGAAAUUAAUAAACGUCUCUCCUGAAAUGUAUCAAAACUUCCAGAAUGUACCUUGAAUCACCAAACUACAGCCCAUGGGCCGGAUCCGGCCCAUGACAUCAGUUAAUCUGGCCCACUGCCGCUCUGUACAUUUUGUGUAAGUACUUGCAUUUGCCUCUGCUAUGGCAUCAGUGUUUGGAACAACUUAUGUCUGUGAGCAAACAUUUUCAAAAACGAAGAAUGUGAAGCCAGAACAUCAAACGAGGUUGACUGAGGAACAUUUGAAAGCAAUUCUCUUGGUUGGAUGCAGCAAUUCCAAAGCAAAUAUUGAUGAUAUCUUAAAAGCUAAAUACCACUUUCAUAAAUCUCACCAACCUUUUUUGCUGCUUAGUUUGUGAGAUUUGGAUAUGUGUGCACCGGGUGUGAUAAAACUAUUUUAUUGCUAAUGUCACCUUCUUUGAUAACUUUUUGGUAAAUAAAUAUGUUGGUUGUCUUUA